GAAGUGUUCGGAUCGCGGCGACGCGGGCGGUCCGCUGCCCGCGACGUUGUGAGAAGUCCACUGAACCUUAUCAUUUAGAGGAAGGAGAAGUCGUAACAAGGUUUCCGUAGGUGAACCUGCGGAAGGAUCAUUG
rnacentral:rRNA from 3 species